GACGAACGCUGGCGGCGUGCUUAACACAUGCAAGUCGAACGGAAAGGCCCUGCUUUUGUGGGGUGCUCGAGUGGCGAACGGGUGAGUAACACGUGAGUAACCUGCCCUUGACUUUGGGAUAACUUCAGGAAACUGGGGCUAAUACCGGAUAGGAGCUCCUGCUGCAUGGUGGGGGUUGGAAAGUUUCGGCGGUUGGGGAUGGACUCGCGGCUUAUCAGCUUGUUGGUGGGGUAGUGGCUUACCAAGGCUUUGACGGGUAGCCGGCCUGAGAGGGUGACCGGCCACAUUGGGACUGAGAUACGGCGCAGACUCCUACGGGAGGCAGCAGUGGGGAAUAUUGCACAAUGGGCGGAAGCCUGAUGCAGAAACGCCGCGUGCGGGAUGACGGCCUUCGGGUUGUAAACCGCUUUCGCAUGUGACGAAGCGUGAGUGACGGUAAUGGGUAAAGAAGCACCGGCUAACUACGUG
rnacentral:rRNA from 1 species